rnacentral:rRNA from 1 species
UACGGAGGGUGCGAGCGUUGUCCGGAAUCACUGGGCGUAAAGGGCGCGUAGGUGGCCGAGCAAGGUCGCGGUGAAAGCCCGGGGCUCAACCCCGGGUCGGCCGUGGCAACUACUGGGCUGGAGCACUGUAGGGGCGGGUGGAAUUCCGGGUGUAGCGGUGGAAUGCGUAGAGAUCCGGAAGAACACCGGUGGCGAAGGCGGCCGACUGGGCCGACCCUGACGCUGAGGCGCGAAGGCGUGGGGAGCGAACGGG